rnacentral:rRNA from 1 species
UUAAGCGACUAAGCGUACACGGUGGAUGCCCUGGCAGUCAGAGGCGAUGAAGGACGUGCUAAUCUGCGAUAAGCGUCGGUAAGGUGAUAUGAACCGUUAUAACCGGCGAUUUCCGAAUGGGGAAACCCAGUGUGUUUCGACACACUAUCAUUAACUGAAUCCAUAGGUUAAUGAGGCGAACCGGGGGAACUGAAACAUCUAAGUACCCCGAGGAAAAGAAAUCAACCGAGAUUCCCCCAGUAGCGGCGAGCGAACGGGGAGCAGCCCAGAGCCUGAAUCAGUGUGUGUGUUAGUGGAAGCGUCUGGAAAGGCGCGCGAUACAGGGUGACAGCCCCGUACACAAAAAUGCACAUGCUGUGAGCUCGAUGAGUAGGGCGGGACACGUGGUAUCCUGUCUGAAUAUGGGGGGACCAUCCUCCAAGGCUAAAUACUCCUGACUGACCGAUAGUGAACCAGUACCGUGAGGGAAAGGCGAAAAGAACCCCGGCGAGGGGAGUGAAAAAGAACCUGAAACCGUGUACGUACAAGCAGUGGGAGCACGCUUAGGCGUGUGACUGCGUACCUUUUGUAUAAUGGGUCAGCGACUUAUAUUCUGUAGCAAGGUUAACCGAAUAGGGGAGCCGAAGGGAAACCGAGUCUUAACUGGGCGUUAAGUUGCAGGGUAUAGACCCGAAACCCGGUGAUCUAGCCAUGGGCAGGUUGAAGGUUGGGUAACACUAACUGGAGGACCGAACCGACUAAUGUUGAAAAAUUAGCGGAUGACUUGUGGCUGGGGGUGAAAGGCCAAUCAAACCGGGAGAUAGCUGGUUCUCCCCGAAAGCUAUUUAGGUAGCGCCUCGUGAAUUCAUCUCCGGGGGUAGAGCACUGUUUCGGCAAGGGGGUCAUCCCGACUUACCAACCCGAUGCAAACUGCGAAUACCGGAGAAUGUUAUCACGGGAGACACACGGCGGGUGCUAACGUCCGUCGUGAAGAGGGAAACAACCCAGACCGCCAGCUAAGGUCCCAAAGUCAUGGUUAAGUGGGAAACGAUGUGGGAAGGCCCAGACAGCCAGGAUGUUGGCUUAGAAGCAGCCAUCAUUUAAAGAAAGCGUAAUAGCUCACUGGUCGAGUCGGCCUGCGCGGAAGAUGUAACGGGGCUAAACCAUGCACCGAAGCUGCGGCAGCGACGCUGAUGCGUUGUUGGGUAGGGGAGCGUUCUGUAAGCCUGCGAAGGUGUGCUGUGAGGCAUGCUGGAGGUAUCAGAAGUGCGAAUGCUGACAUAAGUAACGAUAAAGCGGGUGAAAAGCCCGCUCGCCGGAAGACCAAGGGUUCCUGUCCAACGUUAAUCGGGGCAGGGUGAGUCGACCCCUAAGGCGAGGCCGAAAGGCGUAGUCGAUGGGAAACAGGUUAAUAUUCCUGUACUUGGUGUUACUGCGAAGGGGGGACGGAGAAGGCUAUGUUGGCCGGGCGACGGUUGUCCCGGUUUAAGCGUGUAGGCUGGUUUUCCAGGCAAAUCCGGAAAAUCAAGGCUGAGGCGUGAUGACGAGGCACUACGGUGCUGAAGCAACAAAUGCCCUGCUUCCAGGAAAAGCCUCUAAGCAUCAGGUAACAUCAAAUCGUACCCCAAACCGACACAGGUGGUCAGGUAGAGAAUACCAAGGCGCUUGAGAGAACUCGGGUGAAGGAACUAGGCAAAAUGGUGCCGUAACUUCGGGAGAAGGCACGCUGAUAUGUAGGUGAAGUCCCUUGCGGAUGGAGCUGAAAUCAGUCGAAGAUACCAGCUGGCUGCAACUGUUUAUUAAAAACACAGCACUGUGCAAACACGAAAGUGGACGUAUACGGUGUGACGCCUGCCCGGUGCCGGAAGGUUAAUUGAUGGGGUUAGCGCAAGCGAAGCUCUUGAUCGAAGCCCCGGUAAACGGCGGCCGUAACUAUAACGGUCCUAAGGUAGCGAAAUUCCUUGUCGGGU